rnacentral:lncRNA from 1 species
ACUACUCCAUAAACUGAGCUAAGCAGCAUGGGGCUUGAGAGGCUGAGUCCGACUUUGAAAGAAGUUCUAAUGUGGGGAAAACGCAAUCAGCAUUGCGUGCUACAGAGAAAUCGUGCAUGACAGGAAGAGUUAAUGCAUUUGGUAGCCUUCGUCGUGGUCUUAUUUUAAGAAAUUGCCACAGCCAGCCCAGCCUUCAGCAGCCCCCACCCUGAUCCAUCAGCAGCAUCAAUGUGCAGGCAGGACCCUCCACCAGCAAAAAGACUGUGACUCACUAAAGCCUCAGAUGAUUGUUCAACCUCUUUAGCAAGAAAAUAUUUUUUAAAAUUAAGACUGGGGAGUAAUUCUAACUCCCGUGACUUCGUCGUGCCUCGAAGUAGAAGUCUAGACAUCUGGAUUUGGACAUCUGGAUUCAUCCCUUGCUGUAUCCUCUAGGUUCUUUAAGGACACCGUCAAAGAUGGUGACCGACGCAGACCCUUGUAAAACGUCACAAGACUGGCAUACUUGUAGGUGAUAAGGACGGAGAAAUAAAACAUAGGAUCUCAGCCCGGCCUUACAGGUGCUGCCCAAAGUCACAACAUCUGGAGCGCAGCCUGGAGCUGAGACGCGGGGGCUCUGCCGUGAGCCUGCUCGGCCCGGCCCCGAGGCUGGGCGCUCUCAUCCGGACCUGCUUUGGUGCAGGAGAGCAGGAUGGCAGCGGCCGGGAGGUUUCGCAUCCAGACUGAGCCAGGGUGAAGGCCUCCGAGCAGCGGCAGUUUCUCCUUCCAGGGGGACCUUCAGCCCCUCCGUCCGCUUUCGGCAGGUGGUGUGUGCAUGGGGAGCACACGUCCCGAGGGCUUGGCUCCGGCUCUGCCAUUGACCGUCCCGUGACCCUGGGCUCUAACUUCUUGCUGAGCCUCCGUUUUCUCUCGGGCAAAAUGCAGGUGCUAAUCAUCCCCACUUCAUGGAUUGCUGGGAUCACAUCUCUGUUGUGGAAAACUUUAGGGUAAACUAAAGUGAGCUAGAGGCAGAACAUCGGGUCUGGGCCGUGUGUCUGCCGAUUGGCUAGUUUAACCUUGAGAAAAACCUCUGCCACUGCCUGCCCGUCUGUUUCCGGUCUCCAAGCCCAGAUCUUUCUCUUCGCAGGCCCCAGACACGCCCCUGGUACAUGGAGAUAUCUCAUACUGGCAAUAAUAUAACAUUUCUUUUAUUUGAUGAUGUUAUUGAAUAAUUUUUUAUUUUUAAUCUAAGCAAACACUUAAGUUUAAAAAAACUAGUAACUAUGAAUCUUAACAUAGAAAUGUUAGCCCCUGCCCGUCUUCCGCCCAGUGCCGAUCCACCACUUCCACUGCUUUUAACUGGUUUAUCUGGAAAUAGCUCUACAUGUCUAAACAGCAUCCUUACUCUACAAGUCUUGAUGAUUUUUAAGUUUUAAUUGUUACCUGUUGACUUCCUAGCAUGGGAAGAAAGGAUUUAACCCUCCCCUCCCGUCAGUCACGGACACAGACACACCCCUCCGCACCCCCCACCCUCCUCUUCCAUCCGUUCUGUAUGCGGAUCGUACGUUUUGGUGGGAUAUUCGGAUGUCACACUGGGUUCACAGUUAAGUCAGAUAACAUGUGUGAUGACACGCAGCUGCACGUCUUUGCGUACACAAAUUGUUUCCCUGAAGGUAAUAAUUGCAUUGCUUUCCUGUUUGCUGAGUGUUCUCCUGGUAUCACUCGUUCGGCCCAGAAUCUUUAUAAAAGUGUCGCAUGUCCUUUCACUGCACCCACACACGUGUGCCAUCUCUCAGCCCCUGGAGCCCAUGUCUCUGGGGGUCCCGCCUCCUUGGUUCCACGCUGGCUGGCCGCUCUCGAGACCCACUGCGUCACCGCAUCCCCGGGCUCCCGGGCCUGGGCUCCGUUCCCGUCCUCCUGGGGAACGCGGCCCCCCCCUCGCUCUGCUGUGGCUUCUCUGCCUCCUGGAUCCCGUGGCUUCUUCCUGCUUGUUUUCCUCCUUCGCUUUGUAGAAGCACGUUGUCCAGUAAUGUCUCCAAAAGAGGAAGGAUGGCUUUUGUUUCUGGAGGGUGCACACCUGAAACGGUCUUUAUUCCACGCUUCCAUGUGGUUGAUUAUUUGAUUGGACACAGAAUUACCAAUACAGCUCAGAAACAUUUUUUCUCCCGAUUUUAAACCAUUAUGCCAUUGCUGUUAUUGUCAGGUGUGCUUCGGAUUUUCAGUACUUUCUAGGCGAACUGUUUUUUGUUUUAUUUUUUUUUUAUCACUGUUAACUUUAAACGUGUUCUCUCUAACUCUAGUGUCUUGAAACUUCACAGACAGAUAUUUUGAUGUAGGUCUUUUUCCUUUACUGUUCUACAUUGCCAGGGGACCCUUUCAAACUGGAAACUUAUCUUUCUCUUUUUACAUAGUUAAAAUAAUUCUGUUCAAAUAAUAUUUUCUAAUAUACUCUGAAAUCAUGAGUGUAUUUUUUUUUUUUUGUCUUUUUAGGGCCACACCCACGGCAUAUGGAGGUUCCCAGGCUAGAUCUAAUCAGAGCUGCAGCUGCCUGCUGAUGCCACAGCCACAGCAAAGACAGAUCCAAUCCGUGUCUGCGACCUGCACCACAGCUCAUGGCAACGUGGGAUCCUUAACCCACUGAGCAAGGCCAGGGAUUGGGCCCGAAACAUCAUGGUUCCUAGUCGGAUUCGUUUCCGCUGUGCCAGGACGGGAACUCCUGAAAUCAUGAGUCUAGAAGUCAAUUUCAGAUUUGUAUUAUUUCUUUUUUAAUUUAAAUAUAGUUGAUUUACAGUGUUAUGUUAGUUUCAGAUGUAUAAUAUAGUCAUUCAAUUUUUUAUAGCUUACACACCAUUUAAAGUUAUUAUAAAAUAGUGGCUACAUUCCCUGUACGGUACCUUACACGCAUGUAUAUUCUUAGUCGUAUUUUAAAUUUCUUAUUAAAAUUACUCCUUAACAUUUUAGAAGCUGGAGUUAGAAUAGGAAAUGUAUUACUCAGUACACAGUGAGACACUGAAUUUUCUGUGGCAAACUUCUCUAACCUGUUAUAAAACAAGGUCCUUGAUAGGGUGAAGGAUAAAGAAACCAGAAUCCCCGGCGUAGGUCACGUGAUGAAGAAGGGUCAUCCUGUUUUCUCACACAGACAAGUAGAUGGGAAAUCUCUUUACAAAUAAACAGAGCAGGGAAUGAGCAGAUUAAAUGUUUCUCAGGUGAGACAGAGCGUCCAGUAACAGAGUGUCACGGGGUGGCUUUCUCAGUUCCUUGGUACAAUAUACCCUUUUAGUGAUGAAUAGGCAUCGUGCAUUCCAACAUAGCCAAAUGACUAGCGUUGCAUUGGAAUUGGAAUAAAUGUAAUUUUAAGAAUUCAAGACACCAGAGUUAUAGAGAAUAGGUUUAAAGUCUACAGUGAUUAAGAAAACAAAAUAAACAUAAAACAGUUCACAUAAGAAUUAUUGAAAAUCAGAGUAACAAAUGUAAUUUGGAUAUUACUAUACAAAUUAUUUAUUAGUGUCAGGUUUAUGAUUUCUGUCUAGACCUAUAAAAGAACAGUUCUCAUGCAAUGGGAAAGACAAGUUAAAGAUGCGUAUAUUAGCAUCCACUUCAGCUAAUUAUGCUCAUGAAGUCAGUUGUUCCAUGAAAGGCAACCUCGUUUAUUGGACAUUUUUAGGAAAUGAUCAAUUCCUCAGAGACGUUGAUGUACACAACUUUAUUUUCAUUCUACCUGUUUUUGAUUAAAAUAUUCCUCAAAGAAUAUAUUUAUUUGGCUAACUUAGAACA